GGCUCAUCUCUUCCCCUUAUCUCUUCAUUCAUCUUACUUCCUUCCCAAAGGAGGGGCAGAGGGACAAACAGGUUUCGAGCCAAGAGAGGAAGAAGCCAACCGCUCUGCGCUCCACACUGCUCAAUACUGUGUCACGCACACCACCUUCUGCUGAGCGAACCAGCUCAUAAAACUCCCGACAAAGAAGAAUAAAGCAGCCCCUGUCCUUCCCGGGGCAGCUCAGGCCAAUAUAGAUGUCCUAGGAGAAGGAUCCUGAAACCAGGAAGGCACAUUUGCUGCGGUGUAGCACCUCUCGCUCUCUUCCCAGAUUCAGGCAGGUCUCCUUAUGGUCUCCCCACAGGAUUGGAGAAGAGAUGCGACCUGAGGCAGCCAGCCCUGGCGCUGUGCCCAAUUGGGAGUACAGCACAGCCAUCCUUAUGGUCCCUUCUCUAGCCAUCCUCAAGGAAGAAUAACCAUUGCCAUUGGAGAGAAGUGGGCAAGAUUCCAGCAAUACCUAUCACCACCUCCUCUUGAGUGGCCUCUAUAUGUUCCAAAGACCCACAUGGACAAACAAAUCUGACAUGGAAAGUGAAUACUUUACAAAUUGAAGAGAGCACUGGCUCUGGACAGAUUCAAAUCCUGUUUUUGGCAUCUACUAUC